rnacentral:rRNA from 1 species
UUAAGCGACUAAGCGUACACGGUGGAUGCCCUGGCAGUCAGAGGCGAUGAAGGACGUGCUAAUCUGCGAUAAGCGUCGGUAAGGUGAUAUGAACCGUUAUAACCGGCGAUUUCCGAAUGGGGAAACCCAGUGUGAUUCGUCACACUAUCAUUAACUGAAUCCAUAGGUUAAUGAGGCGAACCGGGGGAACUGAAACAUCUAAGUACCCCGAGGAAAAGAAAUCAACCGAGAUUCCCCCAGUAGCGGCGAGCGAACGGGGAGCAGCCCAGAGCCUGAAUCAGUGUGUGUGUUAGUGGAAGCGUCUGGAAAGGCGUGCGAUACAGGGUGACAGCCCCGUACACAAAAAUGCACAUACUGUGAGCUCGAUGAGUAGGGCGGGACACGUGGUAUCCUGUCUGAAUAUGGGGGGACCAUCCUCCAAGGCUAAAUACUCCUGACUGACCGAUAGUGAACCAGUACCGUGAGGGAAAGGCGAAAAGAACCCCGGCGAGGGGAGUGAAAAAGAACCUGAAACCGUGUACGUACAAGCAGUGGGAGCCUCUUAAUGGGGUGACUGCGUACCUUUUGUAUAAUGGGUCAGCGACUUAUAUUCUGUAGCAAGGUUAACCGAAUAGGGGAGCCGAAGGGAAACCGAGUCUUAACUGGGCGUUAAGUUGCAGGGUAUAGACCCGAAACCCGGUGAUCUAGCCAUGGGCAGGUUGAAGGUUGGGUAACACUAACUGGAGGACCGAACCGACUAAUGUUGAAAAAUUAGCGGAUGACUUGUGGCUGGGGGUGAAAGGCCAAUCAAACCGGGAGAUAGCUGGUUCUCCCCGAAAGCUAUUUAGGUAGCGCCUCGUGAAUUCAUCUCCGGGGGUAGAGCACUGUUUCGGCAAGGGGGUCAUCCCGACUUACCAACCCGAUGCAAACUGCGAAUACCGGAGAAUGUUAUCACGGGAGACACACGGCGGGUGCUAACGUCCGUCGUGAAGAGGGAAACAACCCAGACCGCCAGCUAAGGUCCCAAAGUCAUGGUUAAGUGGGAAACGAUGUGGGAAGGCCCAGACAGCCAGGAUGUUGGCUUAGAAGCAGCCAUCAUUUAAAGAAAGCGUAAUAGCUCACUGGUCGAGUCGGCCUGCGCGGAAGAUGUAACGGGGCUAAACCAUGCACCGAAGCUGCGGCAGCGACACUAUGUGUUGUUGGGUAGGGGAGCGUUCUGUAAGCCUGUGAAGGUGUACUGUGAGGUAUGCUGGAGGUAUCAGAAGUGCGAAUGCUGACAUAAGUAACGAUAAAGCGGGUGAAAAGCCCGCUCGCCGGAAGACCAAGGGUUCCUGUCCAACGUUAAUCGGGGCAGGGUGAGUCGACCCCUAAGGCGAGGCCGAAAGGCGUAGUCGAUGGGAAACAGGUUAAUAUUCCUGUACUUGGUGUUACUGCGAAGGGGGGACGGAGAAGGCUAUGUUGGCCGGGCGACGGUUGUCCCGGUUUAAGCGUGUAGGCUGGUUUUCCAGGCAAAUCCGGAAAAUCAAGGCUGAGGCGUGAUGACGAGGCACUACGGUGCUGAAGCAACAAAUGCCCUGCUUCCAGGAAAAGCCUCUAAGCAUCAGGUAACAUCAAAUCGUACCCCAAACCGACACAGGUGGUCAGGUAGAGAAUACCAAGGCGCUUGAGAGAACUCGGGUGAAGGAACUAGGCAAAAUGGUGCCGUAACUUCGGGAGAAGGCACGCUGAUAUGUAGGUGAAGUCCCUCGCGGAUGGAGCUGAAAUCAGUCGAAGAUACCAGCUGGCUGCAACUGUUUAUUAAAAACACAGCACUGUGCAAACACGAAAGUGGACGUAUACGGUGUGACGCCUGCCCGGUGCCGGAAGGUUAAUUGAUGGGGUUAGCGGUAACGCGAAGCUCUUGAUCGAAGCCCCGGUAAACGGCGGCCGUAACUAUAACGGUCCUAAGGUAGCGAAAUUCCUUGUCGGGUAAGUUCCGACCUGCACGAAUGGCGUAAUGAUGGCCAGGCUGUCUCCACCCGAGACUCAGUGAAAUUGAACUCGCUGUGAAGAUGCAGUGUACCCGCGGCAAGACGGAAAGACCCCGUGAACCUUUACUAUAGCUUGACACUGAACAUUGAGCCUUGAUGUGUAGGAUAGGUGGGAGGCUUUGAAGUGUGGACGCCAGUCUGCAUGGAGCCGGCCUUGAAAUACCACCCUUUAAUGUUUGAUGUUCUAACGUUGGCCCCUGAUCGGGGUUGCGGACAGUGUCUGGUGGGUAGUUUGACUGGGGCGGUCUCCUCCUAAAGAGUAACGGAGGAGCACGAAGGUUGGCUAAUCCUGGUCGGACAUCAGGAGGUUAGUGCAAUGGCAUAAGCCAGCUUGACUGCGAGCGUGACGGCGCGAGCAGGUGCGAAAGCAGGUCAUAGUGAUCCGGUGGUUCUGAAUGGAAGGGCCAUCGCUCAACGGAUAAAAGGUACUCCGGGGAUAACAGGCUGAUACCGCCCAAGAGUUCAUAUCGACGGCGGUGUUUGGCACCUCGAUGUCGGCUCAUCACAUCCUGGGGCUGAAGUAGGUCCCAAGGGUAUGGCUGUUCGCCAUUUAAAGUGGUACGCGAGCUGGGUUUAGAACGUCGUGAGACAGUUCGGUCCCUAUCUGCCGUGGGCGCUGGAGAACUGAGGGGGGCUGCUCCUAGUACGAGAGGACCGGAGUGGACGCAUCACUGGUGUUCGGGUUGUCAUGCCAAUGGCACUGCCCGGUAGCUAAAUGCGGAAGAGAUAAGUGCUGAAAGCAUCUAAGCACGAAACUUGCCCCGAGAUGAGUUCUCCCUGACUCCUUGAGAGUCCUGAAGGAACGUUGAAGACGACGACGUUGAUAGGCCGGGUGUGUAAGCGCAGCGAUGCGUUGAGCUAACCGGUACUAAUGAACCGUGAGGCUUAACCU